rnacentral:rRNA from 1 species
UGCGUAGGCGGUUAGACAAGUCAGAUGUGAAAGCCCCGGGCUCAACCUGGGAACUGCGUUUGAUACUGUUUUACUAGAAUUCGGUAGAGGUGAGUGGAAUUUCCAGUGUAGAGGUGAAAUUCGUAGAUAUUGGAAAGAACACCGGUGGCGAAGGCGGCUCACUGGACCGACAUUGACGCUGAGGCACGAAAGCGUGGGGAGCAAACA